rnacentral:rRNA from 1 species
AGAGACGAGUCAGAGUUUGAUCCUGGCUCAGGACGAACGCUGGCGGCGUGCCUAAUACAUGCAAGUCGAGCGAGCUUGCCUAGAUGAAUUUGGUGCUUGCACCAGAUGAAGCUAGAUACAAGCGAGCGGCGGACGGGUGAGUAACACGUGGGUAACCUGCCCAAGAGACUGGGAUAACACCUGGAAACAGAUGCUAAUACCGGAUAACAACACUAGACGCAUGUCUAGAGUUUAAAAGAUGGUUCCGCCAUCACUCUUGGAUGGACCUGCGGUGCAUUAGCUAGUUGGUAAGGCAACGGCUUACCAAGGCAAUGAUGCAUAGCCGAGUUGAGAGACUGAUCGGCCACAUUGGGACUGAGACACGGCCCAA